UCUCAGUCUAUAGCUAAACCUCGCAUCCGCAACAGCCGUCCCCCAACACUGUCCGGUAUACACAAGCCCCCAAAGAACAUAGCCUACACAGUGUUAUAACAUCAUUGCUUUGAAAAAUGUAUGUGAAAUAAUUGCAACUGUACAUCCACACAGUGCACAGAAGAUACAGCUUAAGCUAGAAACAAAUUUAUAUAAAACUUGUGUGAAAUGAAAAAAGAAAACAUAUACCAAAGGCAUAAAGAAACAUCCUCCACUCCAAGAAUAUACUGACGUGCAGCAUUAAAUCAUAUCCCCAUAGAAAAGAGCCGUUGCUAAGGCGUAUACUGCUCCUACCACGAUAUAUUGUAUGCACAGGAAAUUGAAACGUGCAUAUAUCAGCUUGUAUCAUGAUGUGAAUACGAAACCCAGAACAAGUUGAAAAGAAGAAAAGGAGAGAGAGAGAGAGAGAGAGAGAGAGAGAGAGAGAGAGAGAGAGAGAGAGAAUGAGUAGUCCAGAUCAACCAUGGUACACUCUCCUUCAGUUGCCCAUGGACGAAUCCUCCGACUUACUCUACGAUCCCCACACUUCCCAAGAAUCCAUUGAACAAUCAUCCCUCUGUACUGGUGCUCCUCUGAAUUCGGAAGUGGCACUCUUGUCGUCAGGCGAGUUCGAGAGCAGCGUUAUCAGUGCUUAUAAUCCUCUUGUGUUAGAAGCCGAAAACAAUGCCCCAAGUACGUCCCUAAGAAUCGCCUUUUUUCAAGAGAACGAGGCUUUGGUCUCUGGGGUAACGGAGAAUGACGUGGUGGAAGAGUUACCAAGUGAAGGCAUGAGUGAAAACGGAGCUAGUGGCAUUAUUGUCACGAAUACCAGUAGACCGAAGCAGCACACCGAGGGAACUCACAGGCCUACAAUAAAAAAUGUUAAAGGUAUUCUAAAUUCAGAGGUAAGAUAUACCAGUCCCACAACCAGUACCACCCAUGUCACCAUCACCAGCAAGAAUAUCAACAACAGCAGCAACACCAACAAAAACAACAGCAACAGCUCCAAAAACAGCGAUAAUAAUAAAAAAGCUAACAAUCAUAAUAAAAGCAAUAUUAAUAAUAAUAAGAUAAAUAUUGAUAACAGUAAAAGCACCACACCAACUACCACUGUGACCACUACAACCACCACUACCAAUAACAACAGCAUUAACAAUAAUAACAGUAAUAAUAAUAACAGUGACAGUAACCAGAGUUGUGCAACAAAAGAUAAGGUUUUCGAAGAUGCUAAGGGAAACGCCAUCCUACCCAUCUCAACGGCCUCAAUCAUCACCAGUCUUCCAUCACCACAACCAGGCAUGACCAACACCACCGUUCCCCAGUUCAUGCAAGUAUGGACACUUUCAGACCAAGCCAUUCCAGAUACACCAGAGACCACUUAUAGACCUGUGGAUCAGCAAUCACUGCAAGAACAAGAAGCAACUGUCAAGCCUGUUAUCUGCUACCCAUUAUCUCCCUAUGGUGGGGGCAUAAUAGAUUCCAGGACCUUGCCUUUCCAGGAUAGUGUCACUGGGAUCCAUGAGAUAGAUUCCAGAUCCCUUGUAAGGAGCAGAAUGGACUCAAGACGAAUUCCAAUCCAUGACCUCAGCACAGAAAACUCAGAGAACUAUCCCGCUUCAUCCCAUGGUAAUAAUAAUAGUAAUAGUAAUAGUAAUAAUAAAAAUAAUAAUAAUAAUAAUAAUAAUAAUAAUAAUAAUAAUGAUAAUAGAUUGAGAAGGGAAACAUGCCAAGGGAUGGGCACAGAUGAGACUGAAUUUGCCAUUAUGCCUGAAUCUAUAAGAGGGCUGGUUAGCCUAACCACACAAACAUACACAACAACAGAAGUGGAGGAGGCUCAUUUUGAAAAUCUUCAAGACCCACAGAUGUACAAGGAAAAAAGUGCUCAAAGGGAAUUUUUUGAAUACGUGGAAAGAGAGACGAUACAGCUUCACGAAGGACAUUACUCAGAAUAUGGAAUUCAGAGGGACCUUUAUGCGCACGAAGAACCACUCAACCACUAUCUCAUGAAGCCACAAGAACACAGCGAACAGGUUUAUGCAGAACAGCAAACUCAAGGAUCUUACUUCUACAAUCAAAAUUACCUGUGCUCCUCAAGAGAUAUCCCGUUCUUUAUCAAGGAGGAGAAAAAUGGAGGAAGGGGACCAGAAAGAGAAGAACGAGGAAGUGGUGAUCAAAGUCAAGGAGGAGUUAUCAGUUGUGGUACUGGUGGGGAAGGAGGAGAAGGAGGAGGAGAAGCAGAGGGAGGAGGUGGAGGAGAAGAAGAGCUUGGUGGAGGAAGUGGAGGCUGGAUACAGGAUGAAAAUUGUGGAGAAAAUUAUUGGACUUUAUCUCCAAGAUAUGUGGCCAACGCGUCUCUAGGAUGGCAACAGGAGUUGGCUGCACCUGGUGAUAUCUGGCAGUUUCCCGCCGUUUCCCACAUGGCGGUCCAACACACUUCUCCUUCUCCCCAUCUUACCGAUGCCGAGGAUGAUUUCAUUACGGGAGGCAAGAGACAAGAGGCCAAAAAAUGUGGUGUGUGUGGCGACAGGGCCUUAGGUUAUAACUUCAAUGCCAUAACCUGUGAAUCCUGCAAAGCGUUCUUCAGGAGGAAUGCUCUGAAAAAUAAGGAGUUCAGAUGUCCAUUUCAAGGCCAGUGUCGGGUGGACCAAGUGACGAGACGCUUCUGCCAAAAAUGCAGGCUCAGGAAAUGUUUGGAAAUCGGCAUGAAGAAGGAAUGGAUCAUGACAGACGAAGAAAAACGGAGGAAAAAACAAAAAAUUGAAGAAAACAGAGCCAGGAAAAUUGGAGAUAUUGGUCAAGAUGAUGUUGCAGCAACUAGCCAUGAUAAUAUUAACAAUAAUAGCGAUGACAAUAAUGGUGUUAGUGUUAUUUCUACGAUGAUACCACCAUCCAAUACAGCAUCACCAUCUUCGUCAUCACCAUCAUCCUUCCCUUCAAUGUCCUCGUCGUCUUGCAAGCCUCAAGCUGUCGUGGUGGGAAGAAUCAGGGAGGAAGAAACUCAUCCCAUCAAGGUGCCUCGACUCAAUGAUGCAACAGAUGUCCACCAUUACAACCACCACAAUAAUUGCUUGGAUGGUGCUACUGCGCAGCCGGGUCUAAGGGAAUGUGACUAUUUGGAUACUUCUCCUCUGGACAGAAGCAGAAAGCUGAGCAGCGAAGGUUGAAUACUCUGAUGAGCCGGCCACACCAACUCUUCCACUCAACCAAACCGUCCACCUCCAUCACCCCUCCAACCGACACCUGCAAUCACCAACCCUACGCGACAGUUUUAUCCAGACUUCCCUGCCCCAAUCGCUGUCCUCCCAGCUGGAGCCAGCACAACCACCCUGCCACAGUACAAGUGCCAUGCAGGCCAACUUAGACCAAGAUUGUGAUGUCUUCAGCGUGAGGGAAGCCAUGGGGAUACUGCAUCCCGAAGAACGAAAUACGGAAGAAAGGUAGCGACAACGCCAUAUACUCGUGAAGAGUGAGUCCAUAAUACUGUGGGCCAGGCUAAUAUGCCGUACGACUUCCUGCCGAGAUUCACUGUCGUUUUGAACUACGUUACGAAGCAGCAGCACGACAGCCGCUUCGGUGCUGGAUGCCCUGCUGGACACGGCCAUCAGUGCAGAAUUUUCGUCCCCAUUAGUGUGUAGAACAACGCCGGUCGACCCCCAGGCCUUGACCGAGGUCGAGCAUGCAAAACUGGACGAGCUGAGUGAAGCCAACAAGGGCAUAUUGGCGCCACUUUGCGAGGAUUACAACUUUAAGGAUCUAACUAACCCGUCUCUGAUCAACAUCAUCAACCUCACCGAGAUUGUCAUAAGACGCCUCAUCAAGAUGGCCAAAAAGAUCAAUGCAUUCAAGAGCCUUUGUCAAGAGGACCAAAUUGCCUUGCUUAAAGGAGGUUGCACGGAGAUGAUGCUCCUGCACUCUGUUUGCGCAUACGACCCAGACAAGGACUCUUGGAAGAUCCAGCAGGACCACUCCUGUACCAAGGAUAUCAAGCUCAAGGUGCUGAAGGCUGCCCCAGGGAACGUAUACGAGGAACACAAGCGCUUUGUGCUUGCCUUCGAGCCAAAGUGGAAACAAGACCCACAUAUUAUUUUCCUGUUAUGUGCCAUCACGCUUUUCAACCCCCAGAGACAACACAUCAUACACGCCGAAGCUAUACGCCAUGAACAGGGCUCAUACUUGUACCUGACUCGCCGCUACCUCGAAGCUCGGUACGGCACCUGUGCAGGCCGCGCCACAUAUAAGCAGCUCCUUCACCGCCUGGCCCACCUCCACCAUCUGAGUGAAGACCAUCUGCGCCUGUUUUUGGAGGUGAACCCAACACAAGUGGAGCCACUGUUGAUUGAGAUUUUUGACUUAAAGCACAGAUAACUCCCUCUCCCCCCCUCCCCCACCACACACACACUUGGACAGGCAACACAUUCCAGGUCACUCUCUUCUGCUGUUAACUCUGUUUCUCCAGUUCAAAAUUUCAAAAAUCAAACCAACAAAUAUCUAAAGAUUUUACGUGAAAUUGAUUAAUAAAUGAGGUCUUUAUAAGAUAUAUGAAAGGGAAUCAGCUUUUAUUCCAAGUUCGCUUGAAAUGCUUUUGAACUCGAAUGAACGAACCUUUUGAGCUGCUUUGGGCAUCGUAACUGAUCAAAUGAUCAUUAGAAUCGCUUCACUCGAUUCAACUAUAAGCGAAUCAACAAAAGCCUCAAAUUUACCCAAGCAACAUUGAUCCUUUCUCUAUAUUAGAUGACGCGUUCCGAUUAUGAUGCCAGUAGAUUUUCUUGGUAGGGGUGGGGCCUGUUAUGAAGCAAGCACGUAUUUAUAGAGGCGCCAUCUUGCUUGACUUCAGCUGUUCCAUGGAGCUCAUCUUUGAUCCUCCUUUAGAGAUCACGGUCACGGUUGGUAGGUGGUCUUGAGGACAUCAUGUGGGUAGUUUCCCACGUAACGAUGACUGAAAAUUGUCAGCUUGUUGCGGUGGGCGGGACGUGAUCCCAGGUUUUCCUGGACGCCGCGUCCGCAAGCCGACCACUUAGCCACCGCCUAAAUCAACAAAGAUGUAUAUAUGAAUAAUGUCUUAAGUCAGAUAAUGCAUAUGAAUGUCCCGGAAGAAGAAUACUUAUUUAAGAGUUAUUUUAUUGCUGCAAUUAAUAAUAUUUUUACUUUAAUUAUUUUGAAUAUACAUUCUGUUGCUAUAAACCUCCAGUACAGUAUUUUGAUGAUUCAGUUUUACCAGUACCUGUACAAAAUUUGAUCUUUUUUUUUGUAUAACAAGACUAUUCAGAUAUUUUCUGACUCUUGCUAGAGCGUACCAGCGUUACUCAGGUUGUCAUCCCUACCGUUCUGGUCAAGUCUGUCCUGCAGCUUCUCCAUGACUAUCCGCAUGCUGGUCACCCCUUCCGGGGUGACCAAUUUUCGAAUAUCCGCUACCUGACGGACCCUUUGAUGUUGUUGGCAUUGAUCUUUUACAGCUCCCUUGCAGUCAUCAAGGCUCCUCAUACGUCCUUGUCUGCGUUGAUCACCUCAGCCGUUUUGUGGUCUUAGCGCCAUUACGUAGCAAGUCUGCUACAACAAUCUCUCAUGCGCUUGUCUCUAAUCUGAUUUGUCCCUACACGUCUCCUCGUGUAUUUCUGUGAUAAUGGGACAUAAUUUAAGAAUCAAGUUCUUCGUGACAUUUGCCAACAGUUUAAAAUUAAACAAACAUUCAUUACUGCACAUCAUCCGGCGUCUAACGGCAUCAUCGAAAGGACCAACAGGAAGAUUUUAUAAAUUUUCCGUCAUUAUGCAGUUGUUUACAGGAAUCUUAGGAAGAUUGGCUACCCCAUGUUGCUGUUUAUAUUAACAACUCUGUCAAAUCUUCCACAAACAAAGCGCCUCACUAAAUCCUCUUUGGCCUCUAUUCCUCCUCUAUUCCUUUGACGACUACUCUCAGAUGCAGCUCCCACGAGCUUCCCAUGAGGAGAUGCUACGUAAACAACACCUUCAAGCAAGUCCCAUCACCUUCAGUGUUGGAGACUGAGAUGAAGCAUAUACCUGACCGAUCUUGCAAAUUGCUCCCUAACUUUUCAGGCCUUUAUCUUAUUACAGAAAAGAUGCAUGAUAGUAAGUUCAAGAUUCUUGACCCGGUCAGACAUAGUUCAAAGGUAGUUCACGCUGAUAGGCUCAAGCAUGUGGGUGUGCCCCUUCCGCCUAACAUUCAGCCUCCUACGUACUUCCACCUCUACCAAUGAACCUUACAUUCCUUCCCCACAUGACACUAGCUCCUCUUCCUGCAGACAGAAGUUGAGGUCUGCUACAUCUUUCUUAAUUUUGUUUUUUUCUCAUUGUCGUUUUUUUUCUUUUUGUUGUGUAGCUACCACAGAUAGCAUGGUAUUUUUGUUAAUGUACCUUUUUUUUGGUUAAAGGUUCCUCACCUAAGGUUGUGUAAUGGAUCAUGUGAGGACACAUGCCGGUUGUGGCAAAGCGAUAUUGCAGUAUAGGAUUGUAUGUAAUUAUGUAUGAAUAUUUGAAAGUAGCGCCCUGCGUGGUGCCCCAUGCUUUUGGCGGUAUUAUUCCUUCCCGCGACCCGCCUCCUCAGCGUCCCACCUGAGUGGAAGACAAACAUUCAAACUGGGAGGGUGUACCACUCCACCCUUGCCAGCCUCCUGUAACUCCUGUAAUAAACUUAAGAAGAGGA